rnacentral:rRNA from 1 species
CGGCACGGGCGAGUAACACGUAUCCAACCUGCCGUCUACUCUUGGACAGCCUUCUGAAAGGAAGAUUAAUACAAGAUGGCAUCAUGAGUCCGCAUGUUCACAUGAUUAAAGGUAUUCCGGUAGACGAUGGGGAUGCGUUCCAUUAGAUAGUAGGCGGGGUAACGGCCCACCUAGUCUUCGAUGGAUAGGGGUUCUGAGAGGAAGGUCCCCCACAUUGGAACUGAGACACGGUCCAA